rnacentral:lncRNA from 1 species
GAGCAUGUUGAUGUGGUGUUAGUUAAGGGAGAUGUAACUAUGUCAAAUUAAAGUUUGUUAGGGGAAUGAUAUGAUGGUAAUGAAGCUGGAACUUGUCUGACAGCAUAGACGUUGUGGAAGAAUUAUAUAAUGAAUGAAAGAGCAUCUAGAUCCCUAAUUCGGUUUUGACGAGUAACAACAAUAUGAUCAUUGUGACAAAAAUGUGUUUUGUAGCGACAUUCUCACACUUAGUGCAAUGAUGGGUUUUCAUUGGUUCAAAGGAUAUGCAUGAAGGCUAAAGGUAAGCUUUUUUCAAGUGUUGUUUAGAGUUGAGAGACAUUGGAAUAGUUUUAGGUCUUUAUUUUCCUUUGGCCGUACAAUAAUUGUAGUAGCUUGACCUAGAUGGGCUCUAGAGUUAGGUGUGAUGCAUACUUGUAAAAACAAGCACUAGGUAGCUUAGUU